AGCUCCGAUAGCGUAUAUUAAAGUUGUUGCAGUUAAAAAGCUCGUAGUUGGAUUUCGAGCGUGUUUGCGCAUUUGGUCCGCCGAAAUGGUGUGUACCUGUGUGCCGCGCUUUUCCUUCUCAUUGUGACCCGGCGUGAUUAAUUUCGCGCCGUUUGGUCGCAUGAGAUCGUUUACUUUGAAAAAAUUAGAUCGCUCCAAGAAGGCAAGUUUACAGCCGUUGAAUAAUCUACCAUGGGAUAAUGGAAUAGGACUUUCAUCUUAUUUUGUUGGUUUUCGAGAUGAAGGUAAUGAUUAAUAGGGACAGUCGGGGAUAUCAGUAUUUGCCUGUCAGAGGUGAAAUUCUAAGACCAGGUGAAGACUAACUACUGCGAAAGCAUUUAUCAAGGAUGUUUUCAUUAAU
rnacentral:rRNA from 1 species